ACCGUUCGAGUAAAUGGGCGCCUCUAGCCGGAUUCUAGGGGCAACCAACUUCAGCGUGUAUAAGGGUUCAGACUCCUGCUGGACAUCUGGGCUCCAGAAAGAGGACCCAGAUACGCUGCUUGGGAAACCCUGGUGUCCAGAUUCCAAGAGGAACGAGAUGUGCGCCUGAGAUGGAAGGUAGUAGGGAUGACUUGGCGGGGGGAAGAGUGGGAUAAUGAUGGCAAAAGAAGCGUCCUGGCCUGAGGAUUAAAUACUUGACAGAGCUGGAAGAGGUGAAAGAAAGGAGCCUUAUAUAUAUGAGGAUGGAGAAAAGAAACAAUUACAUCAUAGGGAGGGACUUGGAGGAAAAGUUAAUUCUGCCUGGCUUUGGGAUUGGGGAGUGAAAAGGAGUAAUGAUUCAGAAUGUCUGUGAUCCUCACAUGACUUGGAUUUAGUAAAAAUUAGAAUGAUAAUCUUACAGUGAGAAAAAAUCUUCGUAGUCAUCCCUUCAAGUGCAAGAAUCAGUUCUGAAAUACCCCUGGGUGUUAGCCAUCUGUUAAGUCUUUGGAGGUAUUAAACUCCAUUUUGAGUGCAGACUAUUCCCUUGUUGGCUUUUUCUUUUUUUAGUUCCUUCUGUUAGGUAGAAGUGCCUUUCCUUGUAACUUCUGUGUUGAUCUUAGUUCUUAGUCUUCCAAAGCAAGAGACUGUUCUCUGUUUAACACUGCUGCCCUUCAGAUACGUGAAUUCAGCUGUUUCCAACUCCUACUCACAAAUUCUCUCUCUUUUCUAAGUAAAAUAGCCUCAGUUCCUUUGAUGGGUCUCCAUGUGAUAUACCUAGUGUGCGUGCUAGGUUGCUUCAGUUCUGUCUAGACCUCUUCUCUAAAAACUCUACCACAUGACAGCAUGCUUCUUAAAAUACACUGCUUAAGACUACACAUAGUCAUUUAGAGGUACUUUGAAAAACAUCUUAAAGUGCGAUGUACUAUUUCUUUUGAUUUGGCUAUUUUUGCUGUUCAGUAUCAUUGUAUUUGCUUUUUAAAAAUCAGUGCUAUUAUGCUAUUAGUCCUAGGUCUUUUUUUUUUUACAUGAACUGCUGUUAACUAGAUUUACAUCAUCCUUGUAUAAUAGAAUUGCUUUUUAUUCUCAAUGUCAGGACUUCAUAUUUAUUUAUUAUGAUUGUUCAAUUUUUU
rnacentral:lncRNA from 1 species